rnacentral:rRNA from 1 species
GAUGAACGCUGGCGGCGUGCUUAACACAUGCAAGUCGAACGGAGUUGUUUCGCUGACGAGGCUUCGGCCAAAUCUUGAAGCAACUUAGUGGCGGACGGGUGAGUAACGCGUGGGUAACCUGCCAUAUACAGGGGGAUAACACUUAGAAAUAGGUGCUAAUACCGCAUAAGCGCACGGAGCUGCAUGGCUCAGUGUGAAAAACUCCGGUGGUAUAUGAUGGACCCGCGUCUGAUUAGCUAGUUGGUGAGGUAACGGCCCACCAAGGCGACGAUCAGUAGCCGGCCUGAGAGGGUGAACGGCCACAUUGGGACUGAGACACGGCCCAA